GAUGAAGAACGCAGCGAAAUGCGAUACGUAAUGUGAAUUGCAGAAUUCAGUGAAUCAUCGAGUCUUUGAACGCACAUUGCGUCCCCUGGUAUUCCGGGGGGCAUGCCUGUCCGAGCGUCAUUGCUGCCCUCAAGCACGGCUUGUGUGUUGGGCCUCCGUCCUCCUCCCGGGGGACGGGCCCGAAAGGCAGCGGCGGCACCGCGUCCGGUCCUCGAGCGUAUGGGGCUUCGUCACCCGCUGUUGUAGGCCCGGCCGGCGCUUGCCGACACAUCAAUCUUUUUUCCAGGUUGACCUCGGAUCAGGUAGGGAUACCCGCUGAACUUAAGCAUAUCAAUAAGCGGAGGA
rnacentral:misc_RNA from 1 species